rnacentral:lncRNA from 1 species
CGGGCCUCCUCCCACCCCUCCCGUGGAGAUGCUGAGGUGUGGGGGAACGGGCGCCUCAUUUGGCAGCUGCUGAGUCACAGGCUGAGCCAAGAGCUCUCAGCAACCCUGCAAGGAAGGCCAUUCUGUCCCUUGUACCUGUGACAACCCUGAGCUUGGAUGUCAUCAGUGGUGGAGCAAGCACUCACUGAUGGACAGCACACUG